rnacentral:rRNA from 1 species
GAGUUUGAUCCUGGCUCACAUUGAACGCUGGCGGCAGGCCUAACACAUGCAAGUCGAGCGGUAGAGAGGAGCUUGCUUCUCUUGAGAGCGGCGGACGGGUGAGUAAUGCCUAGGAAUCUGCCUAGUGGUGGGGGAUAACGUUCGGAAACGGACGCUAAUACCGCAUACGUCCUACGGGAGAAAGCGGGGGAUCUUCGGACCUCGCGCCAUUAGAUGAGCCUAGGUCGGAUUAGCUAGUUGGUGAGGUAAUGGCUCACCAAGGCGACGAUCCGUAACUGGUCUGAGAGGAUGAUCAGUCACACUGGAACUGAGACACGGUCCAGACUCCUACGGGAGGCAGCAGUGGGGAAUAUUGGACAAUGGGCGAAAGCCUGAUCCAGCCAUGCCGCGUGUGUGAAGAAGGUCUUCGGAUUGUAAAGCACUUUAAGUUGGGAGGAAGGGUCGUAACCUAAUACGUUACGGCUUUGACGUUACCGACAGAAUAAGCACCGGCUAACUUCGUGCCAGCAGCCGCGGUAAUACGAAGGGUGCAAGCGUUAAUCGGAAUUACUGGGCGUAAAGCGCGCGUAGGUGGUUCAGCAAGUUGGAUGUGAAAGCCCUGGGCUCAACCUGGGAACUGCAUCCAAAACUACUGAGCUAGAGUACGGUAGAGGGUAGUGGAAUUUCCUGUGUAGCGGUGAAAUGCGUAGAUAUAGGAAGGAACGCCAGUGGCGAAGGCGACUACCUGGACUGAUACUGACACUGANGUGCGAAAGCGUGGGGAGCAAACAGGAUUAGAUACCCUGGUAGUCCA